UGAGGAAUAUUGGUCAAUGGGCGAGAGCCUGAACCAGCCAAGUAGCGUGCAGGAUGACGGCCCUAUGGGUUGUAAACUGCUUUUAUGUGGGGAUAAAGUGCGUGACGUGUCAUGCAUUGCAGGUACCACAUGAAUAAGGACCGGCUAAUUCCGUGCCAGCAGCCGCGGUAAUACGGAAGGUCCGGGCGUUAUCCGGAUUUAUUGGGUUUAAAGGGAGCGUAGGCUGUCUAUUAAGCGUGUUGUGAAACUUACCGGCUCAACCGGUGGCUUGCAGCGCGAACUGGUCGACUUGAGUAUGCAGGAAGUAGGCGGAAUUCAUGGUGUAGCGGUGAAAUGCUUAGAUAUCAUGACGAACUCCGAUUGCGCAGGCAGCUUACUGUAGCAUAACUGACGCUGAUGCUCGAAAGUGCGGGUAUCAAACAGG
rnacentral:rRNA from 1 species